rnacentral:rRNA from 1 species
UCCAGUUUCACUGGACGAAGGCACCCAUAAAAGAUGGGUUUGAUGGAGCCGGGGUGUAAGCUAGAAGACUUCGGUCGACUAGCUCAGCCUGCGGCCACCAACCGCCUAAGUUGUCAAUCAA